rnacentral:rRNA from 1 species
AACAUGUCUUUUUGAAUAAAUAAUAUAAAGUYGAAUYUGCUCCAUGAUUUAAAAAUUAAAUAGCUGCAGUAUUUUGACUGUACAAAGGUAGCAUAAUCAAUAGUUUUUUAAUUAAAAGCUGGAAUGAAUGAUUUGAUAAGGGAAAUAUUGUCUCAAAUUUAGUGUAGUUAGAAUUUUUUUUUUAGUAAAAAUACUAAACUUAUUUUUAAAGACGAGAAGACCCUUUAGAGUUUAAUAUAAAUUAUAUUUUUAGAUUUAUAAAUUAUUAAAUAAAAAAUAAUAAAAAUAUUUGAUUGGGGAAAUUAUUAAAUUAAAAAAAUUUUAAUAUAUAGAAAACAUUAAUAUAUGAAUUUUUGAUCCAAAAUUUUUGAUUAAUAGAAAAAAUUACCUAAGGGAUAACAGCGUUAUUUUCUUAGAGAGUUCACAUUAAUAAGAAAGUUUGCGACCUCGAUGUUGAAUUAAGAUAAAAUUUUAAUGUAGAAGUUAAAAAUUUUUGGUCUGUUCGACCAUUAAAAUCUUACGUGAUCUGAGUUCA